rnacentral:rRNA from 1 species
GACGAACGCUGGCGGCGCGCCUAACACAUGCAAGUCGAACGGAGCUGUGAGAAGCUUGCUUUUCUUAGCUUAGUGGCGAACGGGUGAGUAACGCGUGAGUAACCUGCCCUGGAGUGGGGGACAACAGUUGGAAACGACUGCUAAUACCGCAUAAGCCCACGAUCCGGCAUCGGAAUGAGGGAAAAGGGUUUAUUCGCUUCAGUAUGGACUCGCGUCCACUUAGCUAGUUGGUGGGGUAACGGCCCACCAAGGCGACGAUUGGUACCCGGACUGUGAGGUUGGACGGCGACACUUGGAGUGAGACACGGUCGGGACUCCUACGGGAUGCAGCAGUGGGUGAUAGUGCACAAUGGGGUAAACCCUGAUGCAGCGCGGACGGGUGGAGUAAGAAGUUAUGCGGAUUGUAAUCUCUUGUUGUUAGUGCCGAUAUUGACGGUACCUAACAAGAAAGCACCGGCUAACUACGUG